rnacentral:lncRNA from 10 species
CUGCUGCUUUUUCCUUCUCUUCCUCCCCUGCCCUGCCCUGAGCUGCAUGGUUCCCCUACCCUGGGAAGCCAGGAAGGAAUCUGAAUGGAGAAUCACCAACCACCAAAGAAAAAAAGACUGCGGGGCCCUCCCCUGCCAACUCCCCUUCCCUGGCCGCCCACUCACCCACACCUCUUUCACGCAGGACAGGCUGCCCACCCUGUCCACGUGAAGUGCCAACGCCCUCCCCACCCUGGGCCGAGCCCCCACCCCUCCCUGGGCCCCCAAGUGAGAUUGCACAUUUAACUACUGUAAGGAGAGGAGCGGCGUUGGCAAAUGUGAACCAUGA